rnacentral:rRNA from 1 species
GACGAACGCUGGCGGCGUGCUUAACACAUGCAAGUCGAACGGAAAGGCCCUGCUUUUGUGGGGUGCUCGAGUGGCGAACGGGUGAGUAACACGUGAGUAACCUGCCCUUGACUUUGGGAUAACUUCAGGAAACUGGGGCUAAUACCGGAUAGGAGCUCCUGCUGCAUGGUGGGGGUUGGAAAGUUUCGGCGGUUGGGGAUGGACUCGCGGCUUAUCAGCUUGUUGGUGGGGUAGUGGCUUACCAAGGCUUUGACGGGUAGCCGGCCUGAGAGGGUGACCGGCCACAUUGGGACUGAGAUACGGCCCAGACUCCUACGGGAGGCAGCAGUGGGGAAUAUUGCACAAUGGGCGGGAGCCUGAUGCAGCAACGCCGCGUGCGGGAUGACGGCCUUCGGGUUGUAAACCGCUGUCGCCUGUGACGAAGCGUGAGUGACGGUAAUGGGUAAAGAAGCACCGGCUAACUACGUG